rnacentral:rRNA from 1 species
UACGUAGGGACCGAGCGUUGUCCGGAAUCAGUGGGCGUAAAGAGCGUGUAGGCGGCUAUUUAAGUCCUGCGUGAAAUCCUGCGGCUCAACCGCAGACGGUCGUGGGAAACUGGAUGGCUAGAGUGCGGGAGAGGAGAGUGGAAUUCCCGGUGUAGCGGUGAAAUGCGCAGAUAUCGGGAAGAACACCCGUGGCGAAGGCGGCUCUCUGGAACGCAACUGACGCUGAGACGCGAAAGCGUGGGGAGCAAACAGG